GAGUUUGAUCCCGGCUCAGAUUGAACGCUAGCGGGAUGCCUUACACAUGCAAGUCGAACGGCAGCACGGACUUCGGUCUAGUGGCGAGUGGCGAACGGGUGAGUAAUGUAUCGGAACGUGCCUAGUAGCGGGGGAUAACUACGCGAAAGCGUAGCUAAUACCGCAUACGCCCUACGGGGAAAGCAGGGGAUCGCAAGAACCUUGCACUAUUAGAGCGGCCGAUAUCGGAUUAGCUAGUUGGUGGGGUAACGGCUCACCAAGGCGACGAUCCGUAGCUGGUUUGAGAGGACGACCAGCCACACUGGGACUGAGACACGGCCCAGACUCCUACGGGAGGCAGCAGGUGGGGAAUUUUGGACAAUGGGGGAAACCCUGAUCCAGCCAUCCCGCGUGUGCGAUGAAGGCC
rnacentral:rRNA from 1 species